UACGUAGGGUGCAAGCGUUGUCCGGAAUUAUUUGGCGUAAAGAGCUCGUAGGCGGUUUGUCACGUCGGCUGUGAAAACCUGGGGCUCAACCCCGGGCCUGCAGCCGAUACGGGCAAGCUAGAGUUCGGCAGGGGAGACUGGAAUUCCUGGUGUAGCGGUGAAAUGCGCAGAUAUCAGGAGGAACACCGGUGGCGAAGGCGGGUCUCUGGGCCGAUACUGACGCUGAGGAGCGAAAGCGUGGGGAGCAAACAGG
rnacentral:rRNA from 1 species